UACGGGGGGAGCAAGCGUUGUUCGGAUUUACUGGGCGUAAAGGGCGCGUAGGCGGCCACCGCAAGUCAGUUGUGGAAAUCUCUGGGCUUAACCCAGAAAGGUCAACUGAUACUGCGGGGCUAGAGUGCAGAAGGGGCAACUGGAAUUCUCGGUGUAGCGGUGAAAUGCGUAGAUAUCGAGAGGAACACCUGCGGCGAAGGCGGGUUGCUGGGCUGACACUGACGCUGAAGCGCGAAAGCUAGGGGAGCGAACGGG
rnacentral:rRNA from 1 species